ensembl:lncRNA
CAUCUCUAGGGAUUGUUCAUGUCUACAAACCAAGUUCACACAACAAACUCUUUCCAUCUCUAGGAGAUUGUUCAUGUCUAAACCAAGUUCACACAUAAACUCUUCCAUCUCUAGGAGAUUGUUCAUGUCUAAACCAAGUUCACACAUAAACUCUUCCAUCUCUAGGAGAUUGUUCAUGCCUAAACCAAGUUCACACAAGGUUGUUGUUUUCUUCCUUCUCAAAAGUCACCUGAAAUCCACGUCCCACGAUCACUGUUAGGGUAUGAGAAGAUCAGACAAACUUCAGUUUUGGGGUGACCCAUCCCUUUAAUCAGCCAACUAAAAAGACAAAGUGACUAGUUGAUCUCCAGGGUCUUGAACAGCUGGGGGGGGGAUCAAGUAGUAAACUGUCCAUCAGAAGUAUCCUAUAUUUUAGCAGCCGGCUGUCACUAGAGAAAAAUCCCCUGUCAUGACCCUGCGGCCUGAGGAAUUCCUCCCUGGAGGACAGUUCCAUGGGAUAAAGAUGCCUAGAAGGGCCGUGUUUUGGAGAAGGCUCAAGCCAUAGGUAUAUCGGAUGGCAUAAAGGCAGACAGCCGCUGUCCGUGUAGGCUAGAAGGAAAACAGUGAGGAGGAGGGGGGUUGGAUAGUUUUGAAGACUGGUUUGGUUCGUAACCUGGGUCUUCUGGAUGCUAUAAAACUGUGUUGUCUCUCUGGGCUAACUCCUAGGCAUCUACACAACAUAUGACGAAUCCCACUGGGCACAGACGUCAAUUCAACAUCUAUUCAACUUUGGUUCAAUGUAAUUGAAUUGAAAUGAUGUGGAAACAGCGUUGAUUGUGUUGUAUUCAUAACAAACAUCAUCAUCAUCCUCAUUCAAAGGAAUUCUAACAUCAGACUAUUAAAAGCGUGCAGUCUCUGUUAUAUGUUUUGUGUGUUUUAUGUUUUAUAAUGGUCAUGAGAUCAAGUCCCAAAGACAGUUUUUCUAUAGUUUUUUUUAAAUUUAAAUCAAUGAAAUAUAAACAUUUAAUAUAGAAUGUGACUGAAGGUAAAUCUAUUGCUUGCUACAGUAUGUGUAUGUACAUAAAUAUAUGUUACUAUCAGUCAGUUACUAAAACAAGGGAAAUACACGUAACUUCCAAAAUAAAGGAAACCCCAACAUAAAGUGUCUUAAAUAAAAGCUUUAAUGCAUAGAUUCUACAAGUGUCUGGAACUUUGUUGGAGGGACGAGAACCAUCAUUUGGUGUUUUGUUGAUGAAAACGCUUUCUCAGGCGUCGCUCCAGAAUCUCCUAUAGGAGUUCAAUUGGAUUGAGGCGUGAUAAAUGAGACCACCAUAGCAUAUGGUUUACGUCGUUUUCAUGCUCAUCAAACCAUUCAGUGAUCACUUCUGCCCUGUGGAUGGAGACAAUGUCAUCCUAGCCAUGGUAGCCAAAAUAAUGGCCUGCCCAGCAUUAUUAUACAUGACCCUAAGCAUGAUGGGACAUGAAUUGCUUAAUUAACUCAGGAACCACACCUGUGUGGAAUUACCUGCUUUCAAUAUUCUUUGUAUCCCUCAUUUACUCAUGUGUUUCCAUUAUUUUGGCAGUUAUAUGUACCUGUACAUUGAGAGUCAAUAUACAGUAUUAUCACACUUACAGGAAAAAUGUCUAAGUAAAACGUUAUUUUUAUCAUGUUAAAUUAUGCAAACAUAUUUGUACCUGAUAUUUGUUUUAUAAGAUGUAUUGUACUGUAUUGAAGUGUGAGUGUGAGUGCGAAAAAAUGAGGCAUCUCUAUUAGGAAGUCGUCAGAUUACAGGAAACAUCAUAUAUGUAUGCCUGCGGUGAGUCCCAAAGAGUUGAAUGUGUCGUUCUGAAUGAUGAUUCAAAUAAACUUGUUCAAAUCAUUUACAAAUGAAGAGGCCUUAUUCGUAUGUAGGUAAUUACUGGCAAACUAUCUAGCAGAAGACAGCUGUGGCUGGAAAUACACUACGGUAUCAUACUGUACUGCCAAUGAAAUCA